rnacentral:rRNA from 1 species
GAUGAACGCUGGCGGCGUGCCUAAUACAUGCAAGUCGAGCGGACGGACGAGAAGCUUGCUUCUCUGAUGUUAGCGGCGGACGGGUGAGUAACACGUGGAUAACCUACCUAUAAGACUGGGAUAACUUCGGGAAACCGUAGCUAAUACCGGAUAAUAUUUUGAACCGCAUGGUUCAAAAGUGAAAGACGGUCUUGCUGUCACUUAUAGAUGGAUCCGCGCUGCAUUAGCUAGUUGGUAAGGUAACGGCUUACCAAGGCAACGAUUCAUAGCCGACCUGAGAGGGUGAUCGGCCACACUGGAACUGAGACACGGUCCAGACUCCUACGGGAGGCAGCAGUAGGGAAUCUUCCGCAAAGGGCGAAAGCCUGACGGAGCAACGCCGCGUGAGUGAUGAAGGUCUUCGGAUCGUAAAACUCUGUUAUUAGGGAAGAACAUAUGUGUAAGUAACUGUGCACAUCUUGACGGUACCUAAUCAGAAAGCCACGGCUAACUACGUG